ensembl:snoRNA SNORD15 Small nucleolar RNA SNORD15
CUUCUGUGAUGAUACGAUGACGAGUCGGAAUGGGACACGGUUUGUCUCUGGGGUCGCUGGGUCAGGGUCACGUUCUGUGUGUCUGGGUUCAGUUCCCCAGAGCAGCGUGUCUCUUCAGUUGAAGACAUCGAGGCAUUUGUCUGAGAAGG